rnacentral:rRNA from 1 species
GACGAACGCUGGCGGCGUGCUUAACACAUGCAAGUCGAACGAAGAGCGAUGGAAGCUUGCUUCUAUCAAUCUUAGUGGCGCACGGGUGAGUAACGCGUAAUCAACCUGCCCUUCAGAGGGGGACAACAGUUGGAAACGACUGCUAAUACCGCAUACGAUCUAAUCUCGGCAUCGAGGAUAGAUGAAAGGUGGCCCCUACAUGUAAGCUAUCACUGAAGGAGGGGAUUGCGUCUGAUUAGCUAGUUGGAGGGGUAACGGCCCACCAAGGCGAUGAUCAGUAGCCGGUCUGCGAGGAUGAACGGCCACAUUGGGACUGAGACACGGCCCAGACUCCUACGGGAGGCAGCAGUGGGGAAUCUGCCGCAAUGGACGAAAGGCUGACGGAGCAACGCCGCGUGAGUGAUGACGGCCUUCGGGUUGUAAAGCUCUGUUAAUCGGGACGAAAGGCCUUCUUGCGAAUAGUGAGAAGGAUUGACGGUACCGGAAUAGAAAGCCACGGCUAACUACGUG